GCCCCCGUAGCUCAGUUGGAUAGAGCACCGGCCUCCGAAGCCGGGAGCGUGAGUUCGAGUCUCGCCGGGGGCGCCA
rnacentral:tRNA from 3 species